rnacentral:rRNA from 1 species
AUUGAACGCUGGCGGCAGGCUUAACACAUGCAAGUCGAGCGGAGAUGAGGUGCUUGCACCUUAUCUUAGCGGCGGACGGGUGAGUAAUGCUUAGGAAUCUGCCUAUUAGUGGGGGACAACAUUCCGAAAGGAAUGCUAAUACCGCAUACGUCCUACGGGAGAAAGCAGGGGAUCUUCGGACCUUGCGCUAAUAGAUGAGCCUAAGUCGGAUUAGCUAGGUGGUGGGGUAAAGGCCUACCAAGGCGACGAUCUGUAGCGGGUUUGAGAGGAUGAUCCGCCACACUGGGACUGAGACACGGCCCAGACUCCUACGGGAGGCAGCAGUGGGGAAUAUUGGACAAUGGGGGAAACCCUGAUCCAGCCAUGCCGCGUGUGUGAAGAAGGCCUUAUGGUUGUAAAGCACUUUAAGCGAGGAGGAGGCUACUGAGACUAAUACUCUUGGAUAGUGGACGUUACUCGCAGAAUAAGCACCGGCUAACUCUGUGCCAGCCGCCGCCGUAAUAC